rnacentral:rRNA from 1 species
UGAUUCUUCGGAUGAAGAUCUUGGUGACUGAGUGGCGGACGGGUGAGUAACGCGUGGGUAACCUGCCUCAUACAGGGGGAUAACAGUUAGAAAUGACUGCUAAUACCGCAUAAGACCACAGCACCGCAUGGUGCAGGGGUAAAAACUCCGGUGGUAUGAGAUGGACCCGCGUCUGAUUAGGUAGUUGGUGGGGUAACGGCCUACCAAGCCGACGAUCAGUAGCCGACCUGAGAGGGUGACCGGCCACAUUGGGACUGAGACACGGCCCAAACUCCUACGGGAGGCAGCAGUGGGGAAUAUUGCACAAUGGGGGAAACCCUGAUGCAGCGACGCCGCGUGAGCGAUGAAGUAUUUCGGUAUGUAAAGCUCUAUCAGCAGGGAAGAAAAUGACGGUACCUGACUAAGAAGCACCGGCUAAAUACGUGCCAGCAGCCGCGGUAAUACGUAUGGUGCAAGCGUUAUCCGGAUUUACUGGGUGUAAAGGGAGCGUAGACGGAGUGGCAAGUCUGAUGUGAAAACCCGGGGCUCAACCCCGGGACUGCAUUGGAAACUGUAUUUCUUGAGUGUCGGAGAGGUUGACGGAAUUCCUAGUGUAGCGGUGAAAUGCGUAGAUAUUAGGAGGAACACCAGUGGCGAAGGCGGUCAACUGGACGAUAACUGACG